rnacentral:lncRNA from 1 species
GACAACAAUCGAGUCUAAAUUGAUGCAAAUUAAUCCAAACAAGGGAUGUUCAUCCACGGCAUAUCGAUAGUUCUGCUUUUAUAUUGAACAAGACUCAUCAAUUCUUACAGAGCACGUCAUGUUUUUUUACACACUGUAAAUCAUGCCAUGUAAGAGCCAACAGCUGGUGAGAUCACCCAAAUCCCCCUCACAUUCUUCAUAGGAUCAAACACAUAUCGCAUACAAAAGUUUUAUUAUUGUUUAUGCAUCCAUUAGGAAUGACACACACAAUUUGGACAAAGUCCUGUGCGACUGAUCUGGUUGCACAGCCAAUACCAACUUUGUUCAACAAUGUAACUCGAGAGAUUUUGGUACAGCUAGAGCUCACACAAAUAGCUUCACUUGUAUCUGAGCCAACAGUAAGAGUCAGGAUAUAAAAACAGUUAUUUUUAAACUGUGAUGCUUAAUUAUAAAAGCAAGAGCAUAUAAAUAAUAAACUGAAGUUUGCAAUGGAGGAAUAUAAAUACUAAACUUCACAUCUUAAUAUUUGAAGUCAGCACUGGCACACCCACACAUGUGUGUGUGUCUAUAUAUAUAUAUAUAUAUAUAUAUAUAUAUAUAUAUAUAUAUAUAUAUAUAUAUAUUGCCCGUACAAACACUACGGGUGACAUUUGACAAUUCAAAUUUUAAAAUAUAUAAUUUAAAAUAAUAACAUGACGUGGAAUAAAAGUAUUCCGAGAAACAGGGUUCACUGUCACUGUCAGGGUAUAGUCUGAAGAUUAAGAUGUAACCCUGGCCUAAGAUUUCAUAAUCAGAUAGCUGGACAUCCUCAACCAAAUUAGAUGCUCCAAUUUGUAGAUGUUUAGACAAUUUCUUUUACCAUCCUCAAAACAAAUAGCAGUUGAACAACAGUUGAACAACAGCCAUGGACUUAAAUAAGCUGUAAAGUUACCUUAUUUAGAAAGCCUGCACCAAACGCUCUAGUAACCUUCAACUGUCGUUUCACCCUGUCAUUAUACACAGAUUGAGGAUCAUUAGGACAUUCUGCCGUAACCCUUGAGACUUCAUGCAGAGAACAUAGAAAAAAUGAGGAUGAAAAAUAAUUAUAAUGUGGUAGAGUACAACAUAGAACGGUAACCCUAACUAUAUAAAUGAUAAACCUGAUGAUUCAUAGUGCGAACAUGUAAGACAAAGUUUAUGGUUAAAUAUGUUCUCCCAGUACAACAUAAGGCGCAACUAAAGGAUUGCGACUGCGAAAAGAUGUCGCAAAAUUUACAUAUAUGUUCCAAGGAAUUUGCCGUAAGAGGAUGCAACCAACAUCGCAACAGGACAUUUUCAAAUAACAUGACUGAAUAUUCAGUCUAAGAUUUAUCACUACCUUCAAGGAAUUCAGUAGGCGUAUUUGCAAGGUUAGGUGAUGUUUUCAUGAUUAUGCAAACUAUAGAGAGAGAAAUGUUCUUCAGGUGGAAAAUAGAGUGGGUCAGAGCACUAUUAAGGGUGUCACUUGAAAAAUAUAAAGUUUAGUCAUUAGCAGGGCCAACGUCAACCUAUGACUAAGAAAUAAGGUUAAAUAUGAAAGGAUGUUAAUGUAUAGACCCACAGAGUAGAUAAUAUUGUUUGCGAAUGUUGAGGAAUUAUAUAUACCUAAAGAUAUAUUUUGAAAAACAGGCUUAGAAUGGAUUAUUAAUAUUGCAUAUGAAUACACAAUUUCUCAUCGAGAUGGAUACUUGUUAUUGUAAUUUGUGGGAUGUUGUACCGUAGGAUCUCAAACAUCCAACAUAAUAACUGAUGCAUGUGAACAGAUCCUUAUAUUGGUUCAAAAUAACUUUCAGGAAAACAGAGGGAAAUUAUCUGUGUUUGUUCAUGAUCCAUGUGCUCUGACGUUACACUCAUAGCAAACCUAUUGCUUUUAUUGUAAAUAGUCUGAUUCCAAAAAAAAAAAGACCUAGCUACCACAUGAUAGAUCAUAUAAAGUUCAGAAUCAAAAAGAGAAGAGGAAGGUGGGAGCGGAAGCAAUGAAGCAGUACCUGCGGGUGAAGUAGGGAGAAGACGGCGUCGGCGUGACCGGUAUCUCAAAAUUAUAUAUAACACCUAAAGCACAAUAGAAAUCAUGAGGAAAAGUUUAUUUGAGUAUUGUUACUUUAAUUUUGAGAUAUUAAGAUGUGAGAUUUCUGCCAAAUAUACCACUGUAACUAAAAAUGAUUGUCAGUCCAGCUACUCUAAUGACAGAAAUAUUUGAUAACUAUGAAUAUGUGAACCCAAAUGGCAUGUAAAUCUGAACAAAUAUAAAUUAGCACAACAUGAUCAGAAAAAGAAUGGAUCGAUUGGUGCUCAUGAACUGCUUGACAAUAAAAGAAGAAUAUAUGUAUCCUGAUGCUAGCACUUUGUAGCCAUGGAUACGAACGGGAUGCAAUGAUUGUAGUUGCACAGUUUAUACUACACUUCUAACCAUCAGAAGAACAAACACCUUGGAGUAACUUGCCAACAAUUAAAUGCCAUCAUCUUGUACCUGGCGAUGGGAGAGCUUCCGGCGUGCAGGGUUGGGAAUCGGCGCCGGUGGUUGGGGGGAGCACGCGCCGGAGACCUUUGGGGCGGGGAGACGGCGGUUAGGGUUGGGAAUCGCGAGGUGUCACACCCUGAAGUUCUUCUCCCAAGCCUAAAUUGAAUUUAUAAAUGGUCUCAAGAAAAUACUGGUGUAAAAGCAAGAGUGAAACCCUAAUAAAUCAAUGCAAAUAAUAAUCGGAACUGGCAUGUGGGAUUUUUCUUGAGUUCUACAUAUCGAAAUACGCUAACAAGAUUUUUAGUGGAAUUUUCAGAGCUCUGGAAAUAAUUUUAACCAAUUAAAAAUGAGCACAAGCAAUAUUUAAUUCCCUGGAAAUUCAUUUCCUUCUUUUUCUUUCUUUUUCCCUCUUUUUCUUUCCUUUUCGAAUGGGCCGCCGGCCCAUUCUCUUCCUCUCCCCCCUUCCCCGCUAGGCCGACCGAAGGCCGAGGCCCAGCUGAGCCAGCCGCCUCCUCCCUUCAGGUCGCCGACAGGUGGGGCCCACCUAUCGGGCCCGUCUCCCACCUCCAGCCGGCGCCGCCGUGCCCUCGCUCCCGCGUCUUCCAGGCCACGUCGCCCACGUCGCCCGCGUCUCCCGCGCCCACUCCCCCUCUCUCCCACCCGCGCCCGCUCUCGAGACGGCCGGGAUUCGAUUUUCGAAUCCCGCCUCUCUCUCCACCUCCACCUCCCCACGUCGGCCGGUGAAAUCGGGCCACUCCCAGCCACGUCCGAGCCACCUCUCCCCUAUUUAAGCAUCACCGCCCUCCCCUCUCUCUUUUUCCUUAUUUCGCCGAGUUCUCCCGUGCUCUCUAUUGCCCUAGCGCCGUCGCCCUCCUCUCCGCCGCCGCCGCCUCUCCGGCCACCGCUAGCCGCCGUGCCGAGCCACGCCGUCGCGUUCGCCGUCGUGCGGGCCGUCCCGUCCACCUCUCCUCCGUCGGAAUCCACCGCCGGAACCCUCUCCGCCCCGUGCGCCGGUGAGCACUGCCAUGGCCGCUGCCUUCGGCCAGCGUCUUCGCCCUCUCCCAUUUUCCUCUCUCCCUCUAACCCCUCUCAUCUUGUUCGCUAGGUGGUUCCAGAGACCGUCCGCCAUUCGCCGUCGUCCCCCGGUCACCUUGCCGCCGUUCGCCAUCGCCCCCUCGUUCCGGCCGAACACCGGUGAGCAUAUCCCUGUUGUCAUUCCCCCUCUCCCUCUUAGCCCUCGGGGUCGCGCCGCCAUCACUCGCCGUGCGCCGCCGCUCGUCGUCGGUCGCCGCCGCUCUCCGCCGUUGGCCGCUCGCCGCCUUGCGUCGCCGUCGCGUCACGCUGCGCUGCCGCGCGCCACGGCCGCCGGGUCGGCUUGAGUCAUGCCCGUGCGCGCCCGGCCGCGAGCCGCCUCCGCCGUCCGAUCUACCGGUAGAUCGGGGCCAUCCAACCCCGCCGCCCACGUGGCUGCCACAUGGCCGCCAUGUGUGCGCCGCGUCGGCGCCACAUGUGCACCACGUGGUGCGCCGCUCCUCCCCGGUCCGUGGACCUAGUCCACCAUGGACCGCCCCCCCUAGUCACUGCCAUGUGGGGCCCGCAUGUUGGCGCCGCCCCCUCUCUCCUUGCGAAUUUAAUUAUUGCGCAAUAAAUCAAUUAAGGAUUUUUCUGUUUAUAGUAAAAACACAGUGAAUCUUCUAAAAUUCAUAUCUAAUUCAUCCGAGCUCCGUUUAAGCCCAUUCAAGUCUCAGAAAAUCAAGAAAAAUGCAUAGAAUCCAUUAAAAAUGGUUUUGUUCUCUGUUUCAGUAGUCUUAUAGCCUGUUUGUAUUGUUUGCUUUGUAUGUCGCUUAGAUUCCGGCUCUCCCGACGCUCCGGUGUACUUUGAAAUAGUCGCCGAGGUUCCUCCAGCAGCAGAGCAAGGCAAGUCAUGCUUGUCACUUGAACAUGUUGAUCCUAUAUUACAAAUGCUCUACCGUUUUCCCUUAAAUACUGCAUUGUUUUAUAAUGUUACUAUGGGAUGUUUACCUACUGUUACAGCCAUGCUAUUUUUGUACCUUGCUCCUUUGUUAGCUUGGGAUAUAACAUGACUAGAUGUUGGACUAGAGAUUGCUUAGCCAUGCUUAGUUCAACUAGCACACCAUGGGGGAAAUCACAUUAAUGAUUAGACUUCAGGUUUUAGUGUUGAUGUUGGUUUAGUGCCACCGCUCCGGUGUUGGUAAAUUAAAAAUUAACUAAAUGGUGGGCUGUAGGUGCAUGGUUUCGUUGGUCGCGCCCAUGGCACUUAAGGACCGGUUCGCGGGAAACCCUGGAAGAAUUCAUCGUACUUACCACAAGCCAGCGUGGGUAACGGCUGGGCUUGUAGUGUAGCUUUCCUCUAGCUGACGCAUCCAGGCAAGGGUGGGCGUGAUGGAGUUUGGAUGGGCCCUGCAACGGCCUAUGCGGCUUCCGGAUUCACCUAGGCAUGAGAAGGGACUACCCGCUGCCUUGCGAGGAGUGGGGGUGAAACCUGAGGUGUGGUGUGCUUGGUUAGAGGGGAUUAUGCGAAGGGUCCUGUCACGGCCUCUAUCCGGUAUGUCGUGGUGGCAUGUCGGUGCACGGAAAUGUGUCGUGGGGCUGUGUCUUGUGGGUACAGUUGUACACCUCUGAUCAGAGUAAAACUAUUCGAAUAGCCGUGCCCGCGGUUAUGAGCGGUCAACCAGAUUCACCGUGAUUAGUCUCACCCUAGUUUAGUCUGAUGGAACGGAUUAGUUCAGGUGGAUGGUUGGGCCUGUUGCAACGUGGUGUAGCGUUGGACAGUGGAUGGUUAAUAUUGAUUAAUUAUUACAACUGUUUUUUCUGCUUUCAACUACUGUUUAUAAAUGCUCGCUUUAUGCAAAUGAACCACUCUAGAUAUCCUUUGAUAAUUCCCUGCAUCAUACCCUAUUCCGGUAUGACUUGCUGAGUACAGUGGGUAGUACUCAGUCUUGCUCUAUUUUCCCCAAACCCCAGAGUUUGAGUAUGCGUCAGAUGGCGGUUUCUCCGAGGAGUAGGCUUCGUCCGUGCCGUCGAGGAUGCCUGUGGAGUGGUGAUCCCGCUGCGGUCCAAGUCAAGGCUUAGCUCCAGUUAUCUUUUAGCUUUUCGCUGCAUUUAUGUAAGACUUUUAUGAUGUUUGUAAGACGUGGAUCUGUAUGUCAACUUUGUCGUUGUGUACCCCGGCCGGUCCUGGAUGGGGGUUUUAAUGCACAUUCUGCUUGGAAUUCUAUUUGGGAAUUUCUGGGCGUGACAAGUUGGUAUCAGAGCCGACCAUGACCGUAGGACAAGCCAAAUGGAAAACCUAAGAACCCUCUGAAUCCUUUUCAUUGCAUAUGUUCUUUGCAAUUAGAUUUGUUCCGGGGAAAAUUGGGAUUUGUUUCUGCGGUUCAAGGGAAAAUCUUGGUCGCUCGUUUAAGUGGGAUUUGUCAAAGCAGGUCAGUCUAGUGUUUUAGUAAAAUUAUUUGAGAUUUAUUUGACAGUCAGUCGGGAUCUGCAACAUGGCAUACCGCUUCCACCCUCGCCCAGCAAUGGCGACGACAUCAGCACCUUCCGCCCGACAGUCGGCGAGAACGACCCCACCUUCGGCCACAUGUGCACCGUGAUGAGGGGAAUGGACAGGAUGCACUCCGACCUGCACAAGGCAUCCAAGGCCUUGAAUGAUGGAAAGCUUGUGAGGAUCAUAGCUCUGAUGGAUGAGAUAGCACGCCUGAAGAAGGAGAACGCUCAGCUGAAGGGUCUGCCUGCUCCCGGAGGAGUCCGGAUCCGCACCACGCCUCGCAAGUCGACGACUGCACCCGUGCGCAUUAAGCUUGCGCCCAGGAACCCACCUCCGCCCGCAAUUCCCGCAGCACCCGCAGCUCCUCCAGUUCCUCCCGCAGCAGCUCCAACCCCAGCUCCAGUUCCAGUGUCAGCUCCCGCGUCCGCUCUCUCCUUCGCUCCAGCGUCAGCCACCAGGGGUCCAGCCAGUGGCAACGGUGGUUGGUUGCCUGCUAUUCCCAGUGGCAGCCGCGACCAAAGCAGCAGCAGUUCGAGUGGCUCAGAGCUUGGUAGCAGCGAGACGUAUCUGCCAGACUCCAGGAGCCGCUCAGAGGGACCUGGCGACAAGCAGGAGAACGCCUUCAACUCCACCGACCGCAGGAGCCGUUCCGAGCAUUAGGCUCAUUUUCCCUUAGUUUAUCGACUGCUUAGUAAUUGCCUGCCAGCUUGUGUGUUUAGGUUUGUUCGCUUGUGGGUCGUCGACGGUCGACAUCAUGUGCCUAUGAUGUGGCUGUCUUAAUAAGGAUUUGCUUGCUGUUUUAAGUGUUUUAAUUCAGAUCAGAACAAUUGCAGUUUAAAUUCCUAUAUAAUAAAGCUUAGUUCCUGAGCAUCUAUUUUUCUUCUUUUCCAUCCCCUCCAUCUGCUCUUCCUUCAGAUGAUCAACACCAGGAAUGGCAGCCGUGCAGCAGGUGAGGGCAGCAACGGUGAAGAACGCACCGACGGUGGGCAUCCCAACAGCGCCUCCAGCAAUGGUCCGCCACCGCUUCUCGAGAACCCGAUUCUUGCACAAGUGAUGGCCCAUCAGACACAGAUGAUGGAAGCCAUGAUGCAGCAGAUGCAGCACCAGCACCAGUAGAUGCACCAGAGGAUGCAGCAGCAAGCUGAGCAGCAGCAGCAGCAGUUUGGUCCCCCUCCCCCUCUGUCCAAGCUGCCGGAGUUUCUACGCGUCAGGCCACCCACCUUCUCUAGCACCACCAACCCCAUGGAGGCGAAUGACUAGCUCCAUGCCAUAGAGAAGAAGCUCAAUCUUCUGCAGUGCAAUGAUCAGGAGAAGGUCGCCUUCGCCACACACCAGCUCCAGGGUCCCGCGUCAGCUUGGUGGGACAAUCACAUGGCUACCCGUCCGCCAGGUACGGAGGUCACUUGGGCGGAGUUCUGUUGCAGCUUCAGGAAGGCGCAGGUGCCAGACGGGGUCAUGGCACAAAAGAAGAGAGAAUUCCGCGCACUCCACCAGGGCAACAGGACAGUAACCGAGUACCUGCAUGAGUUCAAUCGCCUAGCGCGAUACGCACCGGAGGAUGUCCGCACUGACGCAUUGAAACAGGAGAAGCUCCUAGCGGGCCUGGAUGACGAGCGUACCAACCAGCUGAUUUCUAGAGACUACGCCGACUUUGAGAAGCUGGUUGAGAAGGCAAUCCGUCAGGAGGAUCGGCGAAACAAAAUGGACAGGAAGAGAAAGACGGCUCAGUUCCGGUCCAACCCAAGAAGUCACCAGCGACCACGCUUCACUUCCGGACAACAGGGUGGACCAACCAUCAUGAUUGUCCACCAACAUCGCCCUUUCAACUCAAGCGGCUUCCACCAGGGCGCCAGUGGGAGCCAGAACCACCAAGGAGGUCAGCCCAACUGCAAUGCAGCUCCGCACCCACCAAUGGCACCAGCACAAUCAGCUCCAUCAGCCCAAGCCAAGAAGGAGACUGGGGCAAAGCCAGGGUCCUGUUUCAACUGUGGCGAGCAUGGCCACUUUGCUGACAAGUGCCCGAAGCCAACGCGUGCCGGGCCAAGGUUUGCCCAAGCCCGUGUUAACCACGCGUCCGCAGAAGAGGCGCAAGCAGCACCAGAGGUCAUACUGGGUACGUUUCCUGUUAACACGAUCCCUGCAACAGUACUUUUCGAUUCUGGUGCAACGCAUUCAUUCAUUUCAAAGAAGUUUGCUGGGGUGCAUGGGUUAAGAAAAGAAGAGCUUAGUACACCAAUGAGGGUUCAUACCCCGGGAAAUAGUUCAACCUCGGUCAGUUAUAGCCCUUCCGUGCUAAUAGAAAUCCAAAGAUCACCAUUUCUAGCCAACCUCAUCCUUCUCGAAUCCAAAGACCUAGAUGUCAUUCUUGGGAUGGAUUGGCUUACCAAGUUCAAAGGUGUCAUUGAUUGUGUGAAUCGCACAAUCACCUUGACCAAUGAGAAGGGAGAAGCAGUGGUGUACAAGUCACCAGUCUCACUAAAGCAGGGGAUCUCCUUAAAUCUGAUUGAGGUGAAAAAUCCGGUGGCCACCGAGGAGAAGAGUUCGAGGAAAUUGGAAGAUAUCCCCAUAGUAUGCGAGUAUCCAGAGGUGUUCCCUGAGGACCUCACUACCAUGCCACCCAAGAGAGAGAUUGAAUUCCGGAUUGAUUUGGCACCGGGGACUGCUCCAAUUUACAAGAGACCGUACAGAAUGGCAGCCAACGAGCUAGUAGAGGUCAAGAAGCAGGUGGAUGAGCAACUGCAGAAAGGGUACAUUCGACCAAGUACUUCACCUUGGGGUGCUCCGGUCAUUUUUGUGGAGAAGGACAACACGAAGAGAAUGUGUUGUCACGCCCAGAAAUUCACAAGUAAUUUCCAAACUAAUUUGUGCAUUAAGACCCUCGUCCAGGAAUCAACCGAGGUACACAAACUGAUAAUUUAAUAUACAGAUUCAUCAAAAUAACUAAAGCGAAUAAAUACUUACAUAAGAGGCACUUAGUCCUCACCAUGAAGAAAACUAGAGUGGAAAAAUAAAACCUAGCGAAGCUUCAGCUCCACUCCCACAGGCAGCUCAACUGGGGUAUAAGCCAAACGUCUUCUCCUUCUGGAUCCUUUUUCUUCAACUAAGGUUUGAUGAUUAUUGCAAGGUGAGUACAUGGAAUACUCCGCAAGCCACACAGCAAGUAUGCAAGUGCACAAGGAUACCAAAGGAUGGCAUAAUAUAGGGUUCAUUUGCGAAAGCAGCAUUUAGCAAAGAGUUGAGAAAUUGUAAAACAGUAGAGUAAUUAAUCAUCAAUAUUAAUCAACACUGAACAGCACACCCAUGCUGCACAGGCCCAACCAAACCUGAACAACCAACCCCGGUCGUACAGAUCAAACCUCCAAACCAGGAAUUAUCUAUUUCAAACCAGGAGUCAAAUUAAUUAUCACAUUAUUAUCAUUAAUGAGUAGUGUGGGACUAAUCACGAAAAACAUUGUUAGACCCGCCCAUAACCGCGGGCACGGCUAUUCGAAUAGUGUUAUUCUGGCCAGAGAUGUACCACUGUACCCACAAGACACGAUUCCACACAUGUUGCCAUGCCCCGUAGUACCACCACGGCACUGCAAGGGGGGAAAUCGUGACAGUACCCUUUGCACAACACAACUCACCACAGUGCACCAUUUCUGGAUCAUAAUCACCCCCUCAAAAACCAGAGGCAUGGACUCCCCAGCGACCCCCACGGACUUCUCGCCGCUUCUCAGUCUGGCACCCCGUAAUGAACCAUGCUAUACAAAAGGUAAAGCCGUUGCCCACGCUUGCUUGUGGUUGGCACGAUUAAUGUUUCACAAUAAUAGCUCGCGAACCGGUCCUUAAUUGUCAUGAGCACGACCUUCAGAACCAUGUGCUCACAACCCACCAUUAAUCAUAUUUUAAUUAUCAAUUAAUUAUCAUAACAUGAUUGACCAUCGUGAGCUACCAUUAAAUAUAACCAUAAGUAAUAGUGAAACAUGAUUUAUCCCAUUAAUGAGCUAAUGUUUCUGAGCAUGACUAAGCAACUAUAAAUAACAUCUAGCUGAACCAAUCCAAUAUAUAAGGUUCAUGCUAGUCAAAUUAUAACCCAUAGGAAAAUAAAGUCAUCUUCGGCCAGAAUUAAAUGGGAAAGGCUCAACACCCAAUGACAUUCGAAGACAAUGCGUAAGUAGAAAUAAAUCAAUAGCUUUAAACAGGUUCGACAUGCUCAAAGGGUUGUUUGGGAUCUGUGUGACUUGCCUUACAAACAAGCGUCUUCAAUUCGUCUUCAGGAACUCCUCCAACGAACGAACGAUCAUCCGAAACAACGGAAAACUAAACCUAGAACGCAAAACAAGGAAAAACACUAAUAAAAACCAAAUGAAUAGUACAAUUAAAGUUCAUAAAUGGGUAGAUCUUGUAUUUAGAUGAAUUAUGAGACUUGAACGACCUCAUUCCGAGUUCGAACGAAUUAUUUAUGAAUUUUACAAGAAUUAAUUUCAAUUAAACCUAUUAAAGAAAGAACUAUUCCAAAUUGUUUAAACAAUUUACAAAUGAUUUAUAGCUGAGACAAAAGAUUAAAACAUCCUCCGGAAAUAGAUUAGAUCAUACAUGGUAGAUGACAUAUAUUAAAAAGGAAUAAUGUCACUGAAAAGAUAUGACAGAAUUUAUAUUGAUUUUGCAAUGGCUUGAGAUAAUACGGAUAUCAGCGAUAACAUCAUCACCGGCAGAUGGCUUUGGAUAGCAACGAGAACUGAACGACGAUGCCCCGGCGACAAGGGACAGCUUCGGGAGAGAGAGGAGGCCAUGACGAACUCACCAAGGGCCGGCAUGACCACGGACGAUGACGGGAGAUGGCCGGCGACGAGAUUAAGCGGCGGCGUGGCUCUGUCCACGAUGACGGCGGCGUUUUGACGAGGGGAGGCAGCAACUAAGGGGCGGACAGUCUUCACCUCCCUCCUGCGAUCCCGUGGGUGGCGACAGCGAACGAAGGCGGCGAUGGACGGCGAUGAGCGGCACGGCUGAAGAUGGAUUAGAUCGGCUUCACGGUGACGAUG